rnacentral:rRNA from 1 species
AUUGAACGCUGGCGGCAGGCUUAACACAUGCAAGUCGAGCGGAGAUGAGGUGCUUGCACCUUAUCUUAGCGGCGGACGGGUGAGUAAUGCUUAGGAAUCUGCCUAUUAGUGGGGGACAACAUUCCGAAAGGAAUGCUAAUACCGCAUACGUCCUACGAGAGAAAGCAGGGGAUCUUCGGACCUUGCGCUAAUAGAUGAGCCUAAGUGGGAUUAGCUAGUUGGGGGGGUAAAGGCCUACCAAGGCGACGAUCUGUAGCGGGUCUGAGAGGAUGAUCCGCCACACUGGGACUGAGACACGGCCCAGACUCCUACGGGAGGCAGCAGUGGGGAAUAUUGGACAAUGGGGGGAACCCUGAUCCAGCCGUGCCGCGUGUGUGAAGAAGGCCUUAUGGUUGUAAAGCACUUUAAGCGAGGAGGAGGCUACUGAGACUAAUACUCUUGGAUAGUGGACGUUACUCGCAGAAUAAGCACCGGCUAACUCUGUGCCAGCCGCCGCCGUAAAAC